GACGAACGCUGGCGGCGUGCUUAACACAUGCAAGUCGAACGGAAAGGCCCUGCUUUUGUGGGGUGCUCGAGUGGCGAACGGGUGAGUAACACGUGAGUAACCUGCCCUUGACUUUGGGAUAACUUCAGGAAACUGGGGCUAAUACCGGAUAGGAGCUCCUGCUGCAUGGUGGGGGUUGGAAAGUUUCGGCGGUUGGGGAUGGACUCGCGGCUUAUCAGCUUGUUGGUGGGGUAGUGGCUUACCAAGGCUUUGACGGGUAGCCGGCCUGAGAGGGUGAACGGCCACAUUAGGACUGAGAUAGGGAGCAGAAGGCAACGGGAGGCAGUAGGGGGGAAUAUUGCGGAGUGGGGGGACGCGUGUGACGGCAGUGCCGCGUGCGUGAUACCGGGUUACGGGUGGUGAACCGCUGUCGAAUGUGACGAGGCGGGCGUGACGGUAAUGGGUCAGGAAGCAACGGCUAACUACGUG
rnacentral:rRNA from 1 species